GUCGCUGGACAGUGGUACUCCAUUCUUCCUGAAGAACUCUUCGGUCCGAACUCUUCAGCAGGAAAAAAUAUACUGGAAGCGUAAGAACCCGACGUGAAGUUGGUUGCCACAAGGGAGCGUCUGUCAAAUUUAUGACGACCAGGAACUGCAACAAGAAAAUGUUUUCUUACUCACUGGACAAACCUAAGGAAGUGGUAGCCUUUGAGAAUGGAACCUCUGCGGCUGCGGUUAAAAAAUUUGAACCGUUCCUAAGCAGCAGUGUAUUUGCGCCAUUUGGGAGUAACGCAACAGCUAUCAGCAGCUCAGUCCCAGCA